GGAGACAUGCUGUGACGCUGCUAUGAACCUGCCUAUUCACUGGAUGCCGCUCGGCAUAGCACUCGCUUUACAAAGACACUCACCAAAGAGGACUUCAAGAACUACUUCAGGAAGUGCCACGGAAGAUGGGAUGGGUGUGUUGGAAGUUGGGAACAGUUAAUAUUUCCAUCAAUGCAUGUAAGUAACUCUUUCUGUGGUGCAUCUACUAGACACCAAGAAGACAAAAAGGAGACAAGGCCCGUGCUUUAAAGAGGGAUAUUGGCUAAUUAAGAAAGUGGGACAAUACUGAAUAAAAACUCAAAUGGAUUGAUGUAAUGCAGCUUUGAAGAGCUAUAUUCUGAGGCUCCAUUUUGGAGUAUAGUUUAACAACAGAGACUCUCUGUGCUCUCAGAAACAUCGUCCCGGAACAAAUACAGAGGAGAAUGGGUUAGACACAGACACAGCUGAAAGCAGAAAAGCUAAAGAAGCAAGAUGAUAAGGCUGUAAAAUAAAAGUGGUAAAUCCGCAGUCCAUAACUCUUUUUCAGGAUUUUUUCUUCAUUUUCCAUGUAGGUGGGGUCACUCAUUCUCUUUAACUGAAUAUCACAUGUGACCCAUUGAAGACAUCUGAUCUCCAUUUUUUUCAUGAUCCC
rnacentral:lncRNA from 1 species